UGCAUUCACUACUGUAAGUCGCUUUGGAUGAGAGCGUCUGCUAAAUUACUAAAA
rfam:Salmo salar isolate Sally breed double haploid chromosome ssa12, whole genome shotgun sequence.